GAUGAACGCUGGCGGCGUGCCUAACACAUGCAAGUCGAGCGAACGGACGAGAAGCUUGCUUCUCUGAUGUUAGCGGCGGACGGGUGAGUAACACGUGGAUAACCUACCUAUAAGACUGGGAUAACUUCGGGCAACCGGAUCUAACACCGGAUAAUAUGUUGAACCGCAUGGUUCAUAAGUGAAAGACGGUCUUGCUGUCACUAAUAGAUGGAUCCGCGCUGCAUUAGCUAGUUGGUAAGGUAACGGCUUACCAAGGCAACGAUGCUUAGCCGACCUGAGAGGGUGAUCGGCCACACUGGAACUGAGACACGGUCCAGACUCCUACGGGAGGCAGCAGUAGGGAAUCUUCCGCAAUGGGCGAAAGCCUGACGCAGCAACGCCGCGUGUGUGAUGAAGGUCUUCGGAUCGUAAAGCUCUGUUAUUAGGGAAGAACAUAUGUGUAAGUAACUGUGGACAUCUUGACGGUACCUGAUCAAAAAGCCACGGCUAACUACGUG
rnacentral:rRNA from 1 species